rnacentral:lncRNA from 1 species
UUGAUUUGUGUAUUAAGUAAAGAAACCUAUGUUAUAACAGAAAUUACCUUGCUUCACUAAUAGUUUAAGUCACAUAGACUAAGAUAUCAGUUGGUGAAAAACUAUGGGGGGAGAGGGUUCUUGCACAUCGUGACGUGAAAUAUGCGACUUGGGUUCUAAUGAACUUAUCUUGAUCCAUUACCCGAAAGGUGAGAAUUCAUAUUACAUUUUUUGAAUACCCUUUGAUGUAUAUAUCAUGGUGUGGUCUUUAUGGUUUUUGUAUGUCUAUGUUUUAUAGAAAUUUGAAUUGUUUUUAUAUUGCUAAUUAAAAUGUUUCUUUUUAUAUACAUUUUCUCAUGUUGAAUAACUAUUUCAAUAAUUUAUCCUUGUAUGUGUUUGUGUAGUGAUCUGUUAUGACUAUUAUGUACACAAGCAAAUACAGGUACAAGUGUAGGAGCAACAUCAGGAAGAGAUUAGAGAUUUUAUUUUGACUUUUUUUCCAUAAAUAUUUAUAUAUAUAUAUAUAUAUAUAUUGUGUAUGUUUAAGUUGUAUUUUAAAAUACUAUAUGCUUUGUACAUGCCUUCUAUUCAGUUUAUAGUAAAGUAAAUAGUUG